UACGUAGGGUGCGAGCGUUGUCCGGAAUUAUUGGGCGUAAAGAGCUCGUAGGCGGUGUGUCACGUCGGCCGUGAAAACCUGCAGCUUAACUGUGGGCGUGCGGUCGAUACGGGCAUCACUGGAGUUCGGCAGGGGAGACUGGAAUUCCUGGUGUAGCGGUGAAAUGCGCAGAUAUCAGGAGGAACACCGGUGGCGAAGGCGGGUCUCUGGGCCGAUACUGACGCUGAGAAGCGAAAGCAUGGGGAGCGAACAGG
rnacentral:rRNA from 1 species